rnacentral:rRNA from 1 species
AGUGGCGGACGGGUGAGUAACGCGUGAGAAUCUGCCUUCAGGUCGGGGACAACAGAGGGAAACUUCUGCUAAUCCCGGAUGAGCCUUAGGGUAAAAAAUUUAUUGCCUGGAGAUGAGCUCGCGUCUGAUUAGCUAGUUGGUAAGGUAAAAGCUUACCAAGGCAACGAUCAGUAGCUGGUCUGAGAGGAUGAGCAGCCACACUGGGACUGAGACACGGCCCAGACUCCUACGGGAGGCAGCAGUGGGGAAUUUUCCGCAAUGGGCGAAAGCCUGACGGAGCAAGACCGCGUGGGGGAGGAAGGCUCUAGGGUUGUAAACCCCUUUUCUUUGGGAAGAACAAAAUGACGGUACCAAAGGAAUCAGCCUCGGCUAACUCCGUGCCAGCAGCCGCGGUAAUACGGAGGAGGCAAGCGUUAUCCGGAAUGAUUGGACGUAAAGCGUCCGCAGGUGGCAAUGUAAGUCUGCUGUCAAAACCCAGGGCUCAACUCUGGUCAGGCAGUGGAAACUACAUAGCUAGAGUUCGGUAGGGGCAAAGGGAAUUCCCGGUGUAGCGGUGAAAUGCGUAGAGAUCGGGAAGAACAUCGGUGGCGAAAGCGCUUUGCUAGACCGAAACUGACACUCAGGGACGAAAGCUAGGGGAGCGAAUGGGAUUAGAUACCCC